rnacentral:rRNA from 1 species
ACACGGCCCAGACUCCUACGGGAGGCAGCAGUAGGGAAUCUUGCGCAAUGGGGGGAACCCUGACGCAGCGACGCCGCGUGAGCGACGAAGGCCUUCGGGUCGUAAAGCUCUGUCCUAUGGGAAGAUAGUGACGGUACCAUAGGAGGAAGCCCCGGCUAACUACGUGCCAGCAGCCGCGGUAAUACGUAGGGGGCGAGCGUUGUCCGGAAUUACUGGGCGUAAAGGGUGCGUAGGCGGAUAUGCAAGUCCGAUGUGAAAUGUUACGGCUUAACCGUGGAGUUGCAUUGGAAACUGUAUAUCUAGAGUUCAGGAGAGGGAAGCGGAAUUCCUAGUGUAGCGGUGAAAUGCGUAGAUAUUAGGAGGAACACCAGUGGCGAAGGCGGCUUCCUGGACUGUAACUGACGCUGAGGCACGAAAGCUGGGGCAGCGAACAGGAUUAGAUACCCUGGUAGUCCCAGCCGUAAACGAUGGGUACUAGGUGUUGUCACUUCAUUG